GCCCUGUUAGCUCAGUUGGUAGAGCAGCUCCCUUUUAAGGAGAUGGUCGCAGGUUCGACUCCUGCACGGGGCA
rnacentral:tRNA from 1 species